GUAGUAGGAGAAGCCGCAGCAACGUAGUAUCAUGGCAAUAGCUGGAUUUCAGAGAAGACGCCGUAGGAGACUCUGGAUUUCAGGCCAACCUUCUUAUUCAAUUCCUAAUCACCUAACUUAAACCCUUAGGCCUUAUCUCUAUUUCUCCCAAUUUUCUUUUCUUUUCUUUUCUUUAAUUAACAUUGGCGAAUUCUGUUCUGGUUUAUGCAAGAUUCAUUCGCUUUCGGAAACUGUUAAAACAAGAGAGGAAUUCCAAUACAAGGAAAUAUGGAUACGACGUCGUGUGUUCGAUCCAUGGAUCAGGCCGUCGAAGAGAUCAUGAGAAUUCAUAGAUCGUUACCGACGAGACCUGGGAUCGACGAGGUGGAAGCCGCCAGCGCAUUGAUUCUGAACGUUGACAAAGAAGACCAGGCCAGACUUGAAUCCAUUUCCAGGCAAACCAAGAGCCCUGAUGUACCGGAAGAGCUCUUUACCAUCUUGCAGGAGAUGCAGAAGAAUUUGGUUUAUUUCCAGAGCAAGGAGCAGAAGAGGGAGGCUUUGAAAUUGCUCGAUCUCGAAAGUAUUCACGUUCUGUCUGAUGAAUUUAUCCAGAGAGCUUCCAAAUGCUUGCCUUCUUCUUCUUCUUCUUCUUCUACUUCUUCCUCUUCUUCAUCCUCCAGUUAUGCUAACGGCUCUGCUUCUACAGUUUCCAGCAGCGGCUUCUUUAGGGCCAGUGCGCCAAGUUCCGUUAACAAAUCAUCUAUUACUGCAUCCUCAAACUUGUACUAUUCUGAUCAAAACCCUGUGAGGACUGCGGAAUUGUUUUCCCAAGAUGAUAGUUAUGUGAAGAAGGCCAAGCCAUCAUUUUACUCUGAUGGAAUCGGUGUUUUGUCAACGCCACAGAUAGUGGAUUCCACUCUAAAAACUACCGUAACUACUCCAGGUCAAGAUGGUGACAAGUUGAGUCUAAUAAAGCUUGCUAGUUUAAUUGAAGUCUCUGCCAAGAAAGGCACCCGAGAUCUCAAUCUCCAAAACAAAUUGAUAGAUCAGAUUGAAUGGCUACCUGACUCAAUAGGCAAGCUGUCAAACUUGGUUUCCUUAGAUUUGUCUGAGAACAGGAUAGUGGCCCUGCCAGCCACUAUUGGAGGCCUUUCAUCUUUGACAAAGUUGGAUUUGCAUUCUAACAGAAUUACUGAACUCCCAGAUUCUAUUGGAGAUCUUCUUAGUCUAGUCUUUUUGGACCUGAGGGCUAACCAGUUAUCAUCUCUGCCUGCAACAUUUAGCAGAUUGGUACGCCUUCAGGAGCUUGAUUUGAGCUCAAAUCAGCUCUCUUCUCUCCAUGAGUCCAUUGGUUCACUCAUUAGCCUGAAGAAACUAAAUGUGGAGACCAAUAAUAUCGAAGAAAUUCCACAUACCAUUGGACGAUGUUCUUCGCUAAGGGAUCUUCAUGCUGAUUAUAACAGGCUUAAGGCACUCCCAGAAGCUGUAGGAAAGAUAGAAACCUUAGAGGUUCUGUCUGUGCGCUAUAAUAACAUCAAACAGCUACCUACAACUAUGUCAUCUCUAUUAAACCUGAAGGAGCUGGAUGUGAGUUUCAAUGAGCUUGAAUCAGUGCCUGAGAGCCUGUGUUUUGCUACCUCACUUGUCAAGAUGAACGUAGGAAACAAUUUUGCUGAUAUGCAGUCCCUACCAAGAUCUAUUGGGAAUCUUGAGAAUCUUGAAGAGUUGGAUAUUAGCAACAACCAAAUACGAGUCCUUCCAGACUCCUUCAGGAUGCUAACACGACUACGUAUCCUACGUGUAGAAGAAAAUCCUUUGGAAGUUCCACCAAGACAUAUAGCUGAAAAAGGUGCUCAGGCUGUUGUUCAAUACAUGGCUGAGCUUGUUGAAAAGAAGGACGUCAAAACACAGCCCAUAAAGCAGAAAAAGAGUUGGGCUCAGAUGUGUUUCUUUUCGAGGUCUAACAAAAGGAAACGCAAUGGCAUGGAGUCAUGGACCAUAUGAAAGCUUGAAUUGCUGUACUAUGACAUGACCUUUAUGUUGGGCAUUUAGCUGUUUAUAAAGGAGAGAUCUCAAUGCAACCAAAAAAUCUAUCCAUCAAACAGGGGACUCGGUUUGUAAAACAUGGCUCUUACUCUUGUUUGUCAAAUUGUAGAUUUACUUUUUUCCCUUACAUAUUUUUUUUAAUAUAAUUGGUUUCAGUUUUACUCCAUUUGUAUCUGUUCUUUACUUGUAAUGAGGUGUACACUUCAGCUGGCAGAGAGGGGUAAGAAUAUACUGUUCUCUAUGUCUGAAGUUUGAUUUUACUUUUUUCACCACUUCAAUAGAAUCUCUUUCCUUUGAACAGAUUUUUAGAUUCAGUAGAAUUUAGAAUCUGUUAUGCGAUCGUUUUAUUUAUGGUUAAAAUUGUGUAAAGCUUUUAGUGAUCAUAAGGUGGAAGUUUUCCAUGCAGACGGGUGACUUUCUCCAUUCAAACUAUGAAAAAGCAAUUGAUGUAAGCAAUGACAUUGCAUGGCCUAGUAGGCAUAAUUAUUAAUUUUUCAUUUUUUAAUUAUUAUGCUGCACCGG
rnacentral:misc_RNA from 1 species